rnacentral:lncRNA from 1 species
GGGCUCUUGAGCUGCUUCGUUGAUCGAGCCAACUCUCACUCUAUAGAGUGUACUUUCACUUCAAUAAACCUGCACUUUCGUUGCUUCCUUCCUUUGUUGCUUUGUGCAUUUUAUUAAAUCCUUUGUCCAACACGCCAAGAACCUGGACAACUCACAGUCACGACUUCCUAUCUGGUAACACUCAUUCCUUUGCAAAAUGUUUCUUGAUCUCUGUUAAAAGGCAAGUACAUGGUAAGGUGCUCUUAUUCAUGUACUCCUCCAGGUGAAUGAUUUGAUGUCUUCCCUUCCUAAAACCAGGUUUUUAUGGGAGAGGAAGAAGUGGGGAGUAUGAAGACCCCAGGAAAAGAGUUUUUAAAGAGGAGGAGAUCCAAUUUCACACCUUUGAGUAGUCCAGCUCUGGAAUCCAGUACAGGAUUUUUGGAAGAUUCACCAAGAUCCAUCUUUCCUUUUCCUGCUAUUCUUUCCAAAUAGGUAAAGAAGUAGCUGAGGGAAACGCAGCUUUGUGAGGGAAGCCUGGAGCGUGAGAAAUCUGCUCACACUGGAUUCUGCCUCGGGCUCGACAGAAUGUCACAGCAGACCCGCGAUGUGACAGGCUCACUGGUGUACACACGGCUGUGUCGGCCAUGGCCCUGUCAGAUUACCUGGCACUUGUCCAGUCUUUCUGCAGUCAACAUCGCCCAGAUUCCAUGCAGAACCCUUUGCAGACUCCUGAGGAGGUACAGACAAGGAGUGUCCCUGUCCUCAUGGUGCUACAUGAAAAGGGAUCAGGACAGCAUAGUGUGUCCUCUGUCUUGAGAAGUUCGCAUCCAGCUCUGCCAUGGACCAGCCAUGCUCAUGGAUUGCCUCUCAUUUUGCUACGGACAGGAGACAGGAAAAUACUGGGUAGAAGAGGGCGGUUCCCGACAAAGGCCCCAACCUCAAGCCUGAAGACCCACGACCCUAAAUGAGGACAGCCAUUUCUGAUUUUGUGCCCAAAAAUUUGCCUUUUGGCCUGCCACACCCAACAUCUUGCCCCUAUAUAAACCCGAGACCUUAGCGGGCACACACACAAUCAGCCAAAUGUUGGGAUUAGCAGACCAGUGGACCAGCGGACCAGCAGACCAGUUAACGGUGGAACAACGCAGCAGAGAAAGAGAGAAGAGGAGGGAUGUCUGAAUGCCAAGGGGAAUUCGGCCGCGGGCAGUUAGAAAAGUCUGGCUGCUGGGCGGCCCGACUCUAGGGGAAGACCACCUUCCCACUCCAUCCCCUGUUCUGGCUCCCCAUCCAUCUCCCUGAGAGCCACCUCUACCACUCAA